rnacentral:rRNA from 1 species
GACGAACGCUGGCGGCGUGCUUGACACAUGCAAGUCGAACGGAAAGGCCCUGCUUUUGUGGGGUGCUCGAGUGGCGAACGGGUGAGUAACACGUGAGUAACCUGCCCUUGACUUUGGGAUAACUUCAGGAAACUGGGGCUAAUAUCGGAUAGGAGAUAUUGCUGCACGGUGGGGGUUGGAAAGUUUCGGCGGUUGGGGAUGGACUCGCGGCUUAUCAGCUUGUUGGUGGGGUAGUGGCUUACAAAGGCUUUGACGGGUAGCCGGCCUGAGAGGGUGACCGGCCACAUGGGUACUGAGAGACGACGCAGACGCCUACGGGAGGCAGCAGGGGGGAAUAUGGCACAAUGAGCGGAAGCCUGAUGCAGCGACGCCGCGUGCGGGAUGACGGCCUUCGGGUGAUAAACCACUUUCGCCUGUGACGAAGCGUGAGUGACGGUAAUGGAUAAAGAAGCACCGGCUAACUACGUG